UACGUAGGGUGCAAGGCGUUAAUCGGAAUUACUGGGCGUAAAGCGUGCGCAGGCGGUGAUGUAAGACCGAUGUGAAAUCCCAGGGCUUAACCUUGGAACUGCAUUUGUGACUGCAUAGCUAGAGUACGGUAGAGGGGGAUGGAAUUCCGCGUGUAGCAGUGAAAUGCGUAGAUAUGCGGAGGAACACCGGUGGCGAAGGCGGAUCUCUGGGCCUUACCUGACGCUCAGGCGCGAAAGCCAGGGGAGCAAACGGG
rnacentral:rRNA from 1 species